CGACACUGCGGGAGCAUGUAGCAAAGGUGUAAAGAGACCGUGAAGAAUUUGGAAGCAGGAAAGUAAAAGAGGUCUCUCUUCUCAGCUGUUUUUAACCAAUAGCAAGGACAGAUCCUGAGCCCCAGUUCUCAGAAAGCAAAUAUGGCUACAAUGGGCUUCACCCCAGCCACAGAAUGAAAAGUCAACAGCUCCUGCAAGGUGAACUACCUUAUGCUGCCAUCAUGAUUGGAAAACUUUCUUGUGUAUCAGAGGAGAUACUACCGUGGCAGAAGAAACAGGUACUGUCUAGACCCAUUUCCUGCAGCUUAUAAAUAUCUGUGCUCAUGAUUCCCAGGAAUCAUCCUAUUGCCUGAGACCAGAUGAAGGUUUGGCAUUGACUGAACCAUCUCUGCAGGCUUUAACCUUUUCCACCAACAGAAUCAGAAAGGAACGAUAGCAAGC
rnacentral:lncRNA from 1 species